UAUAAAUAAAAACACGUUUCAUUGAACUCGAAUAUAUUUAUUAAAUAUCACAAAUACAACAAUGAAUAAAAUUUGAAGGAUUAAUAAAUUACUGGUUUAGAAAAAUAGCUGAGAGUUUGCUAGUGCAAUCAACUUUGAAGAAAAUAUAAAAAUAUUAGUUUUUUUCUAGACAAAACAUUUGAACGAUAUUAUAUUUGAGUAUGGUAAAAAUAACUUAUUUUCUUUUGAAGAAUUAAAAAAAAAAAUAGUUUAUAUCGAAAUCAAAUCCCACAAUGAAAGCUGUAUUUAUACAAAGAUGCAGAAAAAGAAAUGAAAAUAGUGAAAAUUACAAAUCAUUUUCAAUGAGAACAAAAUCCGGGCUAGUAGGUUUCGGUCAAGAAAAACCUGCAGUACCAAAUGUUUUGUCUGUUACUCCGGCAGACAUCAUCAGUAUAUACGUUGACUGCGAGAAUAAAAGUUAUAUCUCGAAAUCUCAGCAACGACUGACUGGUGAGCUACGUGUUCACUCCUAUUUUUAUUUAAGAUGCAAUAUAUAGUUAUAUAUAGGAGAGCUUUCCAAAUUUCUGCUAAUGCAGUUGUCAGUUAUAAAGGUUGAUCAAACCACUAAAGUAGACAUAAAAACUUGGCAAGCUAACUUGGAUGUCAACAGGUGGUUCCACUAAUGUCUCACUUUUACGAAGUGAUUUUUAUAAAAUACUCUUUUGGCUUUUCACAGUUUGUCUUCAAUUUGUG